CAGCAGCCGCGGUAAUACGAAGGGGGCUAGCGUUGCUCGGAAUGACUGGGCGUAAAGGGCGCGUAGGCGGUUUAUCUAGUUGGGUGUGAAAUUCCUGGGCUCAACCUGGGGGCUGCAUCUAAUACCGGUGGACUUGAGUUCGGAAGAGGGUCGUGGAAUUCCCAGUGUAGAGGUGAAAUCCGUAGAUAUUGGGAAGAACACCGGUGGCGAAGGCGGCGACAUGAUCCGAUACUGACGCUGAGGCGCGAAAGCGUGGGGAGCAAACAGGAUUAGAUACCCCAGUAGUCCCUGUCUCUUAUAC
rnacentral:rRNA from 1 species